AUGAUGCAUUCAAAAAAUAACAAGAAAAGAAACGUUGAUUUUUUUUACCUUGGGGGCAUUUCGUCGAACACGUUGUGCGCGUCGGCCGCCGGCUCAACGAGUGAGCUCGCCGGCGCUUCGGUAGCCGCCGCGCCCGUCACACGCCCUGCAAGCUUCUUCCUCCUCGCCUUCGAGGUGCCGGAGCCGUCCACCGCCUUGUUCUUCUUCGCCGACGCCUUGCCCUUCUUCGGCCGCGUCGCAUUGGGGAGCUUCGAGGGGGGCGGCGGCUCGGGCCGGCGCCGGCGCGACGCCACCCGCCGCCGAGGUCAUCCGCGGCGGCAUGAAGAGGCCGCGCACGAGGCCAAUGGUCGGGGGAGCUCCGCCGGAGGCGGGCCAACGCCCGCCGCGCUAGGGUUUGCGGCGGCGGCGGCGGUGGACGGGUCGCGGCUAUAG
rnacentral:rRNA from 1 species